rnacentral:lncRNA from 1 species
GCUCAUUAUUAAAUGUUUUGAACUAGAAAAAUUGGAUAUCCAACUUUCUCUCCCUCUCUCUGAUCCUUUCUUCUUCCUUUCCUUUUUUCUUUCAUCUCUCCCUCUCUCCCUUCCUUCUUCCUCCCUUCCUGCUUUUCUUCCUUCCCUCCUUCCUUCCUUUCUCUUUAUUUCUUUUUAUUAAUGGAUUGGUUCAGAUUUGCAGUUAUAUCAUCUUGGUAUCCUUUGCUUUGCAGCCUCAACUUUAUGGAUCACCCAGCUGUGGUUCAAUGCUUUCUUGGCAGGUCAAACAUUCCUAUGUCUGAUAAGGUAUUGACUCAUUUUUAUUUUUCUUUCAAUAUUUAUUCAUAGAAAUCUGAAUUAGCUCAUCUGCAGGCCAUUUUCCUUUUAAUUUUUAAUGUUUUCUUUGUUGGUUUUUAUGCUUAUGCCAAAGGUCUUUAACUGAGCUUUCUCACUCCAAAGAUUUGCUAAUUUCAGUCUUUUUUUCAUAUAUUCCCUUUUUACUCAUUUCCUGAUUUCUUCCCUUUUAAUGGUGCUUUCCCUGAGGACUGGACCUCAAAGUCACCCCAACAUAUUUCACUAGCCUCAUACUCUGUCCCAAGUGACUUUUUUUUAGUAUAGCACUGUCCUUAUCUUGAUUCUAUACUCUUUCACAGAAUUAGUGGAAGUGCCCCAUAGCCACAGACAUGUGACCUGACCCCAUUCCCUCUGUUUCUUCAUUCUCUGAUUUUUCUCUGUUGCAUUCAGGACAGAAGAGAACAGCCUGACUUUUGCUUAUCCACAAAACUAGUUGAAGGAAGGGGUAGAGUUGAGUUCUAUUGCCACUCAUAGGUGAGUCUCUACAGCUCUCCCCACAUGAUGGUAAAUUGGGGCAAGAAUACCAAGUGAUUGUUAUUUUAUUGUACUUUCACCUCAUUAGGGUUUAUGUUGUCCUACACCUUUUUCUUUAUCAAAUAAUUUUUAUUUUCAGUAGGCUUGAGAGCUAGUGAGGAAAAGAAAAAAUGUUUACCCUUUACCUUAUAGUUAUAUGACUAAGAAUUUGUCUGGUGAUUUCUUUAACAUUUAAAAAUAAAAGUAAGAUAAAGGCCA